UUCCUUAAGGAAAUUAGCCAGCUGCUGUGGUGUGGGGUAUUCCAUGGCUUGCGGUGUGGAUAUCUGCUCUGCAAUGGUCCUCUUCACAGACUACUCCAGUGCCUGAAAUACCUCCUUGCCCUCAUUCUUUUCUGAUGGCAUUCAUGCUACUAUUUCUCACUUUUUUUUUCUUACUUUGCUUGUCUGCUGUUUUAAAUAUGUUUUCAUAAAGGUGCCGACCACUUGGCUGCUGGGCUGAGCUUCUAGAAGGCACUUUUAUGGUUCAGAAUAAAUGAUGUUUUCAGAUUUCAGAAGAAAGAAGUAUUCUAUAACCUACAGUUCUUAUGGUUUGUAACCUAACAAAUACUGUUGUUGAGUAUAGGUGUAGCACAUUUAUCUUGAAUAUGCUGUCUUCUUUCCUUGAAUUAUUCUUAGUAUUUCAUUGUGGGACAAACAUUUUGAUCACUUCAAGAUCAUGUACAUUAUGUAGAAUGUAUGUGCAGUGAGUGUUAUUUAUAAAGCAGAGGUUCCAAUUUGCUAUUUUUACAGACAUCAUUUGGCUUUAUUAAUGACAGAUAAAAUACUUUUACAAUGUUCUCUGCCAAAACACUGCCACUUGCUAUUCCUUUUCUACCUUUUGUUCCCUCCCCACUCAGACACAUGCUUCCUCUUCUGAUUUUUUUUUCUCCUAUUAUGCCAGUAAGCCUUACAUUUUUUCAGUUUGCUUGCUGGGAAAAUGUGAGCACACUUGAUUCCUGUGAGUUCUCAGGUGCUCUCACGUGGUAGGUGAUGGCUGAAGCCAGAGUUCAUCCAGCGUCAGGGAUGUUGACACAAGUUUCACUACAUGGCGUAGCACUACUCUGUCACAAAGGUAAUUCAGUCUUUGCUAGAAAAAGAAGAAUCAAACUGAAGAGCGAAGAGGUUUUUAUCACUUAAACAUUUCUUCAAUGAGAGUGUGAAAAUGAGGGAGCCUUGCUUUUUGUUUUCUUGAGCAAAACAAAACAGUGAUGAACCAGAAAGUUGCAGCAAAGUUGUUUCUUUUAAAAUACAUUUCCAAUGGAAAUAAAGCAUUGCUUAAAUACAAAUAAUCUAUAACUGACUAGUUACAAAACGAGUUCUAGCAGAAACUGGAAAUUGUUCAAUAAUAUUCAAUAAUGCUGCUUAGUGACACAAAGCAUGCAUCAUGGUAACGCGGAACAGUUACUAAACUACUCUUCAGGAUAAAUGAUGUGAUGGAGGAUAUUAAAUUAUUUAAUUUGGAGUUAGGAGAUAACGACAAUCUCUGCUACUCUUCCGUGUUGAGAUCUUGAACAAUUUGCUGAGUCUGGAUCUUUCCUAGACAAAUAUUAGAUGGUUUCAGAACAGUGGCUGUGUGCUACCAGGUUCUGAGCCUUUUGCCUUCAUUUCACUUAAAUGUUACAAAACACGUGAGUACAUGAACUUAAGUAUUUAGAAUUUAUAAAAUCUAACAUGUCUGUUGGUCAUGAUCUCUAGCUCAUUAUAGGGCAAAAGUGAGAUGACAACACACACAAAUAAGCUUGAUAAGUUUUUCUUUUUUUUUUUUUUUUUGGUAUUGGAUUUGCAGCAGUGCAUAUUUGUUGCAUACUACCAAAGUGCAUAGAAACUCUGAAAAUGUUGUAUGUUUGUUUUAAUGAUCGUAACUUUUCAUUUGCUGUAUUCAGCCUGAUAAAAUGGGUGAUUUGCCAUGUCUUUAAAGUGUUAAGAUACUGAAUGCCUUUUUCAAAAUCUUUUGUAUUUUAUCUGCGUAAAACUAAUUACUCUUCUUGCAAAUCAAUACAAAAUAAAACUAUUAAGUCAACAAGGAACAUACAGUGAUAAUUCUCAGUUUACCCUGCAAUUUUAUACUACUGCUCUGGCAGUUGCCAGUUGCCUGGAGACUUGCCUGAGACUCCUGUGGGAAGUCCUGAUCCUGCAGUUGGCUUUUUGGGCAUGGUGACAAUGCUUUGCUCUGCUCCUGGGCACUGUACACAACCCUUCCCAUCUCCUAACUGCUCAGUUGCGGGUGAAGUUGGAUAGAUAGCAAGUCGUGCUCCCUAAAAGUGUAUCCUUAUCUUGCUCUGAAGUUAGGAGGUUUUACUACUUUUGUAGCCUGCAGCAACCACUGUUUUUCAGCACAAGCACCCAAAGCUAUUAGAUGUUGAUAAUAAUUCAUUAUUUUAUAUAAUCGCUAGCACUUGGAAAAUCUGUGUGUCUAAUCUGCCCUUCAGAGAGGAAUCCAUUUUAUGGUUUUAGUCUACCUGUUCUGAUUGUUGGGAUAGAAGUUUUGGGACAAAACAUUUGAUUUAAAAAAAAGUUUUAUAGGAAUGUUUUUUAAAGUUAUUCAUUCUGUAAUAUGAAUACUUAUUUAUUCUAGCUGGAAUAUGAACAACAAAUACAACUUCAGCCUUUGGUGGACUUGGCUUAAGGUUUGAAACACUGCUUUGACUUUACUGACAAAAACAACUGGUUAUAUUAAAUUUGGACCUGCUGCAGUAAGAUGAUAAAUUUUGAAAUUGUUAAAAUUUGUGCUGUGAAGAAUAAGUUUGGCAUUUGGGUCUAAAUGCAACAUGGUUCUCAAACAUUGUAGACUGUAGAUGCAAUGAAACCCUCAAACGCAAACACUGCAGGAGGAGGAAAUAUGGCAAAGGAUACUGGCAAGAAAGAAAAAUGGUAUUUUUAAAUAUUUGCUGAAGACUGCACUUGAUUUACUGAGAUAGUUCUCACUGGUAAGGUGAGAAGGGAUUUUUUUUUCUUUUAUACUUAAACACAUUGAAUAGCAUCAACUGAUCUGCAAGUGUUACUGUAUACGUGCUUGCCUACAAAAAAAAUAAACCUGUC